UAUGACAACCCACACCGCUAUCAACAAGCAAAACCGAGCAGCAUGUUUUACUGAUGUUUUGAUCUAUUAGAAUGUGGCACAAUGUUCCAAGUCAGUAGCCUGCUCCGUUAUAAUAUUAUUGAAAUAGCAAACCGCAUUUUCACUGGACAUUUUCAAACUUUUAAAAUCAAAAACGCUGGACGCGUAAGCGUGAAUUAUCACUUAGCCACAGCCGUGGAGAAGAAAGCCAUGUUCUGAGAACGUUCAGUGGUGGUGGCCAAACUCUGUAAAUAUGUCUCAGGGCUAUAAAUGUUAGCUAUAUGGGCUCCAUGCUAACCCCAGUCCUCUGUUGGUUAGCAGUGAUGUUUUAGAAGUCCAGUGGGAAAGAAUGCAAGACAGCCUUAUCCUCCAAGCCUUGGACAGGAAAACAAAGUGAUUUCAUCAUUGUACUGAUAUAGAUUCACGCUGAAGGACAAUGACAAGGCAGUAUGCUGGUAUACACUUUACUGGGGCAAAAGGAUUCUGAGUGUUCUGAUGUUCUGAAGUGGAUUACUGGUAUGGAGGCACACAAGAACGGAACGUGCAACUUUAUUAUUGUGUGAUGGCACCUCUACGGGGUAAAAUAUGUUGUCGCUGAAAUAAAUGGAGCAAAAAAUAUAUGUGUUUGCACCCGAGGCGUUCGGCAGCCGUAGAGAAUGAAUUGCGACAGCUGCACAGGCACAGAUAGUUUCAUUGUGCCGCGACAGCAAAAUUGCCCUUGGGGGUGGCAGGAUCCAAGAAUCCGAGGAGGAGGGCGGAGAAAGCCCUGUGUCAGACCUUUCAGUGCCACAACAAUGUCCCGGCACUUAUGCGGUCAGACAGUGGAUUGUCACAGGUUUGUCAGGUGGAUCGCCACGGCAACAACUUUGGGCUAGCAAUGUAGCUUCCAGGAGUUGUGUUCAUAUCCUUGGAACAGGGCAUUAUAAUGCAUCAUAACGUGCAGAUGAAUGGCACGACACCAGGCCAUACCAUAACCUAACCCCAGAGCAACCAUGGGUCUCUCCGUUCAUGAAGCAGACAUGGUCGUCCAGCUGACACUAGGCACACCGUCGGCUAUCUGCUCAUUACAGCUGGAACCGGGAUUCACCGGGAAGGACACACUCCCUCUGUGUGCCAACCGGAGGACAUUCCAGUAUGGCUUUGGGUGCUGGAAGAUGAAUCUCCAUCCAAGUCAAAGGUCUCUAGGAGACUCUGC
ensembl:lncRNA